rnacentral:hammerhead_ribozyme from 1 species
AGCCGAAACGCCCCACCUGGGGCGUCGUCCCGGGGCUGCCCGUCCGGGGCCUGAUGAGGCAGGGCGUU